rnacentral:rRNA from 1 species
CCUACGGGUGGCAGCAGUGAGGAAUAUUGGUCAAUGGGCGGAAGCCUGAACCAGCCAAGUAGCGUGCAGGAUGAAGGCUCUACGGGUUGUAAACUUCUUUUAUAGGGGAAUAAAGCUCCUUACGUCUAGAUCUUGGCGUGUACCCUAUGAAUAAGGACGGGCUAAUUCCGUGCCAUCAGCGGCGGUAAUACGAAGGGUCCGGGCGUUGUCCGGAUUUAUUGGGUUUAAAGGGAGCGUAGGUGGUAUGUGAAGUGUGCUGUGAAAUGUCCGGGCGCAACCCUGUACUUGCUGCGGAAACUGGCGUACUUGAGUGUGCGAUAGGCAGGCGGAAUGCGUGGUGUAGCGGUGAAAUGCUUAGAUAUGACGAAGAACCCCGAUUGCGAAGGCAGCUUGCUGGAGCGGAACUGACGCUGAGGCUCGAAAGCGUGGGUAUCAAACAGGAUUAGAUACCCUUGUAGUC